rnacentral:rRNA from 1 species
CAGCCGCCGCGGGAAUACGUAGGUGGCAAGCGUUGUCCGGAAUUAUUGGGCGUAAAGGGCUCGCAGGCGGUUUCUUAAGUCUGAUGUGAAAGCCCCCGGCUCAACCGGGGAGGGUCAUUGGAAACUGGGAAACUUGAGUGCAGAAGAGGAGAGUGGAAUUCCACGUGUAGCGGUGAAAUGCGUAGAGAUGUGGAGGAACACCAGUGGCGAAGGCGACUCUCUGGUCUGUAACUGACGCUGAGGAGCGAAAGCGUGGGGAGCGAACAGGAUUAGAUACCCCGGUAGUCCCUGUCUCUUAUAA